UACGGAGGGUGCGAGCGUUGUCCGGAAUCACUGGGCGUAAAGGGCGCGUAGGCGGCGCGGGAAGUCAUCGGUGAAAGUUCAGGGCUCAACUCUGAAUCGGCCGGUGAUACUCUCGUGCUCGAGCACUGUAGAGGCAGGUGGAAUUCCAGGUGUAGCAGUGAAAUGCGUAGAUAUGCGGAGGAACACCGAUGGCGAAGGCAAUCCCCUGGGCCUGCACUGACGCUCAUGCACGAAAGCGUGGGGAGCAAACAGG
rnacentral:rRNA from 1 species